UACGUAGGGUGCAAGCGUUGUCCGGAAUUAUUGGGCGUAAAGAGCUCGUAGGCGGUCUGUCGCGUCUGCUGUGAAAACUCAGGGCUUAACCCUGAGCUUGCAGUGGGUACGGGCAGACUAGAGUGCGGUAGGGGAGACUGGAAUUCCUGGUGUAGCGGUGAAAUGCGCAGAUAUCAGGAGGAACACCGGUGGCGAAGGCGGGUCUCUGGACAGUUCCUG
rnacentral:rRNA from 1 species